rnacentral:misc_RNA from 1 species
UGAAGAACGUAGCGAAAUGCGAUAAGUAGUGUGAAUUGCAGAAUUCAGUGAAUCAUCGAAUCUUUGAACGCACAUUGCGCCCCUUGGUAUCCCGAGGGGCAUGCCUGUUCGAGCGUCAUUUCACCACUCAAGCCUGGCUUGGUGUUGGGCGACGUCCUCUUUGGGGACGCGCCUCGAAACGCUCGGCGGCGUGGCACCGGCUUUAAGCGUAGCAGAAUCUUUCGCUUUGGAAGUCGGGGCCCCGUCUGCCGGAAGACCUGCUCGCAAGGUUGACCUCGGAUCAGGCAGGGAUACCCGCUGAACUUAAGCAUAUCAAUAAGCGGAGGA